AAUAUUGGACAAUGGGCGAAAGCCUGAUCCAGCCAUGCCGCGUGUGUGAAGAAGGUCUUCGGAUUGUAAAGCACUUUAAGUUGGGAGGAAGAGUUGUCGGCUAAUACCUUGUAAUGUUGACGUUACCAACAGAAUAUGCACCGGCUAACUUCGUGCCCGCAGCCUCGGUAAUACGAAGGGUGCAAGGGUUAAUCGGAAUUACAGAGCGUAAAGCGCGCGUAGGUGGUUCGUUAAGUUGGAAGUGAAAGCCCCGGGCUUAACCUGGGAAUUGCUUUCAAAACUGACGAGCUAGAGUACGGUAGAGGGUAGUGGAAUUUCCUGUGUAGCGGUGAAAUGCGUAGAUAUAGGAAGGAACAUCAGUGGCGAAGGCGACUACCUGGACUGAUACUGACACUGAGGUGCGAAAGCGUGGGGAGCAAACAGG
rnacentral:rRNA from 1 species